GCGCAACCCUACUUGUUAGUUGUCCACUCAUUCAGUUGGGCACUCUAGCGAGACUGCCGGUAAUAAACCGGAGGAAGGUGGGAUGACGUCAAAUCAUCAUGCCCCUUAUGACCUGGGCUACACACGUGCUACAAUGGUUGGUACAACGAGUUGCGAGUCGGUGACGGCGAGCUAAUCUCUUAAAGCCAAUCUCAGUUCGGAUUGUAGGCUGCAACUCGCCUACAUGAAGUCGGAAUCGCUAGUAAUCGCGGAUCAGCACGCCCGCGGUCGAAUACGUUCCCGGGCCUU
rnacentral:rRNA from 1 species